rnacentral:rRNA from 1 species
CCUACGGGAGGCUGCAGUGAGGAAUAUUGGUCAAUGGGCGCGAGCCUGAACCAGCCAAGUAGCGUGAAGGAUGACUGCCCUACGGGUUGUAAACUUCUUUUAUAAAGGAAUAAAGUGAGGCACGUGUGCCUUUUUGUAUGUACUUUAUGAAUAAGGAUCGGCUAACUCCGUGCCAGCAGCCGCGGUAAUACGGAGGAUCCGAGCGUUAUCCGGAUUUAUUGGGUUUAAAGGGAGCGUAGAUGGGUUGUUAAGUCAGUGGUAAAAGCCCGGGGCUCAACCCCGGCGAGCCGUUGAAACUGGCUGUCUUGAGAUGUCGAGAGGUAUGCGGAAUGCGCAGUGUAGCGGUGAAAUGCAUAGAUAUCACGCAGAACGCCGAUUGCGAAGGCAGCAUACCGGCGCCCAACUGACGCUGAGGCACGAAAGCGUGGGGAUCGAACAGGAUUAGAUACCCCAGUAGUC